GGAUUAGAUACCCUGGUAGUCCACGCUGUAAACGAUGAUCACUAGAUGUUCGGCCUUCGGGUUGAGUGUCCCAGCGAAAGCGAUAAGUGAUCCACCUGGGGAGUACGUCGGCAACGAUGAAACUCAAAGGAAUUGACGGGGGCCCGCACAAGCGGUGGAGCAUGUGGUUUAAUUCGAUGAUACGCGAGGAACCUUACCUAGGCUACAAUGCCUUUGACAGCUUCUGAAAGGAAGUUUCCCUUCGGGGCAAAGUGCAAGGUGCUGCAUGGUUGUCGUCAGCUCGUGUCG
rnacentral:rRNA from 1 species